rnacentral:misc_RNA from 1 species
GAGAUUCAUGGGUCAUUCUCUGUUGCGAUGGAUUUUGAUCUCCAAUCUUUAGCUCGCUUGCUUCAAUCCCUUAAUACCCACCGUUCAAUCCAACAUGGCAAACAGCUCCACAUUCUCUCUCUCAAAAGGGGUCUCAUAUAUUCCACUCUUUCACUGGUAAACCGCAUUCUGCUUAUGUACACUCGGUGUGGCAGCACGAGCGAUGCGCAUAAACUGUUCUAUGAAAUGCCCUAUAGAAACUGCUUUUCAUGGAACACCAUGAUAGAGGGCUACAUGAAGUCUGGAAACAAAGAAAAAUCCCUAGAGUUUUUCUAUUUGAUGCCCCACAAGGAUGACAUCUCAUGGAAUUUGGUCAUUUCCGGGUUUGUAAAAGCUUGUGAAUUUGACAUUGCUAGGAAGUUGUUUAAUGAGAUGCCUAGGAGAAAUGGGGUUGCAUGGAAUUCGAUGAUUCAUGGUUAUGCUCGGAAUGGGCGUUCAAGAGAAGCUGUUAGGCUGUUUAAGGAAUUGAAUUUGAAGCCGUUGGAAAAAUCAUGUGGUGAUUCGUUUGUAUUAGCAACUGUUAUUGGCGCUUGUACUGAUUUGAAAGCUAUUGAAUGUGGCAAGCAAAUCCAUGCACGGAUUCUAAUAGAUGACAUGGAAUUUGACUCAGUAUUGGCUAGUUCUCUGAUUAAUUUUUAUGGAAAGUGUGGUGAUUUCGACAGUGCGAAUUAUGUCUUAAAUACGAUGGAGGAGGCAAAUGACUUUUCUUUGUCAGCACUUAUCACCGGCUAUGCAAAUUGUGGUAGAAUGAAUGAUGCUAGAAGAAUAUUUGAUAGAAAAAGUAGUCCAUGUGUUGUGGUAUGGAAUUCAUUGGUUUCUGGAUAUGUUAUCAAUAACAAAGAAAUGGAAGCAUUUGCACUCUUCAAUAAGAUGCAGAAAAAUGGAAUUCAAGUAGACUCAUCCACAGUAGCAAUUAUUUUGAGUGCCUGCAGUAGCUUUGGGAAUAUACAACAUGUUAAACAAAUGCAUUCCUAUGCCUGUAAAGUUGGAUUAGUUGAUGAUAUUGUUGUCGCUUGUGCUUUUGUUGAUGCAUAUUCCAAAUGUGGAAGUCCUAAUGAUGCUUGCAAAUUAUUCAGCGAGCUCAAAGCCUACGAUACAGUCUUGCUCAACUCUAUGAUCACAGUAUAUAGCAAUUGUGGUAGAAUUGAAGAUGCUAAACAGAUCUUUAAGACAAUGCCUAGUAAAAGCUUGAUAUCAUGGAAUUCAAUGAUAGUGGGUCUUGCCAAAAAUGGUUGUCCAAUUGAUGCAUUGGAUCUUUUUUGCAAAAUGAAUAAACUGGAUUUGAGGAUUGACAAGUUUAGCCUUGCUAGUGUGAUCAGUGCCUGUGCUGGUAUCUCUUCACUUGAACUUGGUGAACAGGUUUUUGCAAGAGCAAUCAUCAUUGGGCUCAAAUCUGAUCGGGUUGUUUCUACCUCGCUUGUUGAUUUUUAUUGCAAAUGUGGUUUUGUUGACAUUGGGAGAAAACUAUUUGAUACAAUGACCAAAUCUGAUGAAGUCUCUUGGAAUUCAAUGUUGAUGGGGUAUGCUACAAAUGGUUAUGGAUUGGAAGCACUAACACUGUUCAAUGAAAUGAAGCAUGCUGAUGUGAUACCUACUGAUAUUUCAUUUACGUGCGUUUUAUCCGCCUGUAAUCAUUGUGGAUUGGUUGAGGAGGGGUGGAAAUGGUUUAAUAUUAUGAAAUAUGACUAUCAUAUUGAUCCAGGAAUUGAGCACUAUUCAUGCAUGGUUGAUCUCUUUGCUCGUGCUGGUUACAUACAGGAAGCAAAGAAUCUUGUUGAGAAUAUGCCUUUUGUGGCAGACGCCAGUAUGUGGUUAUCUGUGUUGAGGGGUUGUUUGGCUCAUGGAGAUAAGGAUCUUGGAGAAAAGGUGGCAGAGCGAAUCAUUGAGCUUGAUCCUGAGAGCUCCAGUGCAUAUGUGCAACUAUCUGGCAUAUUUGCUACCUCUGGGGAUUGGGAAAGCUCAGCCCUAGUUAGAAAGAUAAUGAAAGAGAAGCAAGUUAAAAAGCAUCCUGGUUUCAGUUGGGCUGAUUGAACAAGAUAUCUGGAAGGUGAGCAAUCAAGGGACUUGCAUCAUCAUGAGAAGGAAUCAUGUUAUUCAUUUUUGUUUUUGCUGAUCUUUUUGUGGGUUCAAUCACAUUCAAUCAACUUUAAAUUCGAAGCAAUCUUGUCAAUUUUGGGUUCACCUAGCUCUGCAUUUGCUACUUAAAUCAUGUCAAGAUAUCUCAUUUAGACUAUGAGCAAAGCUUGGUCUUACAGUGCAUCCAUCCUGCCACUUUUAUCUUCUUGUCACUUGUGUUAUUUGGGCAAGGUGGGCUACCAUUUUCUUACACAUUUUUGUAGCUUCCUUAUGGGGGCAUUGCCUGAACAAAGCGGCCACACUUUCUUCUUGGCCUAUAUGAUGAUUACAACAAUUUAUUCUAGGCAUUUCCCUAGUGGUGAGUAAGUUCUCUGCAUGCAAUUAGAAUUUUACUGGAAAGCUCUUGAUGUUUAUGCCUCGAUUUGAAACCUAUGAUGCGUUUGGAUCUUCCCUGUCUUUUGCAGUGAUCAUCAUUGCAUGGAUUUGGAGUUGAGGAAAGGAGGCUUAUGCAUGGACUUGAAGAGGAAGAAAGUAGGGUAGCCAUCGAAAUCAUGAGCAUACACAGAUAUGACAAUUCAAGCAGAGGUGCAAACAUGAAUUACACUAGAAAUGUACAGUUAUUUUUUGGGAAGCCCAAAGAUUUCUUCCUCUAUAGAAGCUCAAUUAUGCAGAUGAUCUUAUAGCAUCUUGAGAUCUAGAUAUGUGAUAUAUUGAAAUUAAAUUAGAUAGUUAUGGACAUGAAGCAUCAGGAAAGUUCAUGCCUCGCUCUUUGAUCUUUGCCAAGUUAGUCCCUGCUCAACUACAAUAGGUAAUGUGUUUGAGUCAUCAGCUUGGAAAAAAAAAAUUUGUUCUCAUUACUUUGUUCUUAUCUUCAGCUUGAAAAAAUAAAAAAAUUGUUCUCAUUACUUUGUUCUCAUCUUACAUAUUCUGUAAAUCUUGUACUCUAAAUUGAGGAAUUUUUAAUUGUAGCUUAAAUUUUGAGCUUCA